rnacentral:rRNA from 1 species
CCUGUCCUACGGGACGCAGCAGUGAGGAAUAUUGGUCAAUGGACGCAAGUCUGAACCAUCCCAGUAGCGUACAGGAUGACGGCCCUCCGGGUUGUAACCUGCUUUUAGUUGGGAAUAAAAGGGGGCUCGUGAGCCCCGUAUUGUAUGUACCAUCAGAAAAAGAACCGGCUAAUUCCGUGCCAACAGCCGCGGUAAUACGGAAGGUCCGGGCGUUAUCCGGAUUUAUUGGGUUUAAAGGGAGCGUAGGCCGGCUUUUAAGUAAGCUGUGAAAGUCCGCGG